rnacentral:rRNA from 1 species
UGGGGAAUAUUGCACAAUGGGCGCAAGCCUGAUGCAGCCAUGCCGCGUGUGUGAAGAAGGCCUUCGGGUUGUAAAGCACUUUCAGCGGGGAGGAAGGCGAUAAGGUUAAUAACCUUGUCGAUUGACGUUACCCGCAGAAGAAGCACCGGCUAACUCCGUGCCAGCAGCCGCGGUAAUACGGAGGGUGCAAGCGUUAAUCGGAAUUACUGGGCGUAAAGCGCACGCAGGCGGUCUGUCAAGUCGGAUGUGAAAUCCCCGGGCUCAAACUGGGAACUGCAUUCGAAACUGGCAGGCUAGAGUCUUGUAGAGGGGGGUAGAAUUCCAGGUGUAGCGGUGAAAUGCGUAGAGAUCUGGAGGAAUACCGGUGGCGAAGGCGGCCCCCUGGACAAAGACUGACGCUCAGGUGCGAAAGCGUGGGGAGCAAACAGG